GUGCUCGCUUCGGCAGCACAUAUACUAAAAUUGGAACGAUACAGAGAAGAUUAGCAUGGCCCCUGCACAAAGAACCAGUAGAGUACAUAUGAAUAAAAAUAUUUU